GGCCUAGUGAUGGAACAGUAGACAUGCCGGUCUUAGAAACCGGUGCUAGAGAUAGCGUGUAGGUGCGAAUCCUACUUAGGUCA
rnacentral:tRNA from 1 species